rnacentral:rRNA from 1 species
AUUGAACGCUGGCGGCAUGCUUUACACAUGCAAGUCGAACGGUAACAGGCCGCAAGGUGCUGACGAGUGGCGAACGGGUGCGUAAUGCAUCGGAACGUGCCCAGUCGUGGGGGAUAACUACUCGAAAGAGUAGCUAAUACCGCAUACGAUCUAUGGAUGAAAGCGGGGGACCGUAAGGCCUCGCGCGAUUGGAGCGGCCGAUGUGAGAUUAGGUAGUUGGUGGGGUAAAGGCUCACCAAGCCAACGAUCUGUAGCUGGUCUGAGAGGACGACCAGCCACACUGGGACUGAGACACGGCCCAGACUCCUACGGGAGGAAGCAGUGGGGAAUUUUGGACAAGGGGCGCAAGCCUGAUCCAGCAAUGCCGCGUGCAGGAAGAAGGCCUUCGGGUUGUAAACUGCUUUUGUACGGAACGAAACGGCUCUGGUUAAUACCCGGGGCUAAUGACGGUACCGUAAGAAUAAGCACCGGCUAACUACGUG